rnacentral:rRNA from 1 species
GCGUGUGAAGAGCGAGCCGAGAUCCGGAGAUCGAUCGAUAGGACGUCGUUCAUCGAAGGGCCGCCGUCGCUGCCGCUCUCGCGCCGACGUCAACCUGGCGGCCGCUCCCUCCACGGCAGUAGUACGUUCCCCUGGUCCGCCUCUUCUCCCCCUUCCACUUCUUCCCCACCGACCGCCACGCCCAGCCGGUCCGGGUCCGCCUCGUCGUCCCGCUGCCCAAGGCCGCCAAGCAGUAGGGGUAGCGGAUGGAGAUGGUGGGCGAGAAGGUCGCCGAAGACCUCCGCCGGGCCCUGUGCAUGCCGAUGUUGAGCCGGCCGGGCGAGACCGACGGGACGGGGCAGCUGCUCAAGGAGGCGGACGCGCGCGAGCAGCUGGCCCUCUGCCGCGUGAGCGUGAGGAGGAGGAGGAGCGUGGCGCACGUGCACGUCCGGCCACCGGUGGUGGUCGUCGUGCCGAUGAGGAAGCGGGGCACGUGGGCGCGGUCCCAGUGGAGGACUAGCUGGCUGGCUGGUAGCUCGGGGCCGCCGGGAAGCACGCACGCACGCGUACCGCUGACACCCGUGGCCUCGAGCGCACGCCCCUCCUCAGGGUAGACACGUGGCCUCUGCUGCGUGCACAUGUGAUGUGCAUGUAUCUCUCCGUCUCUCUAUGCCUCUACGAACUCUCCGUCAUCCACUAAUCAGAUACUAGGUAUAACGAAUACUAAAGCCGGAACAAGAAGACUAAGAAUGUGUACGUACACAUAGUGAUCUAAUCAAUUGUCUGGGCUACAUAUUAGUUGUCAACUUAAGCUAGUCAGCAAUGUCGGCCCAAAUGUAUAUGAUGUUGAACUAGACGAAGGGUAGCAAAAAGAAAAACAUUUGAAGGUCGAGUUUAACUUGUUCAAGCUUAAGCCGUCACGAUUACGGUUAGCGAUCAUCGGGUUCAAGCUUUUGCCGUGCGUCGCUCGUAUGUCGUCGUCGCGUGGGUCGCUCUUCCUCAGCUCCUCCUCCGGGACUGACGUUCACUGUAUCGGGCUGCCGCACGUGCGCGACGCACAAGACAUGCAUAGU